CGCCGUCAAGCCCCCGCCCCCCUCUUCCAGCCAGAUCUCCCUUCCCUUGCCGCCGGAGCCAUGGCGUUCGACGCCUUCACCGACAAGACCGCCGUCUUCCGCCGCCUCAAGGCCAAGCCCGAGAACAAGAUGUGCUUCGACUGCAACGCCAAGAACCCCACCUGGGCCUCCGUCACCUACGGCAUCUUCCUCUGCCUCGACUGCUCCGCCUUCCACCGCAGCCUCGGCGUGCACAUCACAUUCGUCAGGUCAACGAACCUGGACUCAUGGACUCCGGAUCAGCUAAAGAUGAUGGCUUUUGGAGGCAACAAUCGUGCACAUGCUUUCUUUAAACAGCACGGGUGGACAGAGGGGAGUGGCAAAGUCGAUUCAAAGUACACAUCCAGGGCUGCUGAAUUGUACAGGCAGAUACUGCAAAAGGAAGUUGCUAAGAGCUCCACCGUCAACGUCUUGCCAUCAUCCCCUGUUGCAGCGUCUCAGCCACCGAAUCCGACCGACGACUUCCCUGAUUUCAAGCUUGCUGAUGCACCAGAAGAGACUACCAACGGGAAGCAUGAACCUCUUGUCGCCAAUCCGCCAAAAGAGCCUGCCCAGGCUCCAAAAGCCCCUACACACCCCACUUAUGUCAGUUCUGUAAAGAAGCCCCUUGGUGCAAAGAAGCUUGGCGCCAAGACUGGAGGCCUUGGUGUAAAAAAGCUAACUACGAAGUCAAAUGAAAGCCUGUAUGAUCAGAAACCUGAAGAGCCAAAACCUGCUUUACCAACAAUGACGACUACUACUUCAGCUGCAAAAAGUGGCCCAUCCUCACAUUCGCGUUUUCAGUAUGUGGAGAAUGAGCCAUCAACAGAGUCAAAAACUGGAGGAGGCAACAAAACUGGCCAUGUAGCAGCACCAAAAACCUCAGACUUCUUUCAUGAGUAUGGAAUGGAUAAUGGCUUCCAAAGGAAAGCCGGCACAGCUGCCUCAAAGACUCAGAUAGAGGAAACUGAUGAAGCAAGGAAGAAAUUUUCGAACGCGAAAGCAAUUUCAUCAUCACAGUAUUUUGGUAACACAGACAGAGAACAAAAGGAGGCUCAGUUAUCUCUUCAAAAGUUUUCGGGUUCAUCAUCCAUUUCAAGCGCUGAUCUGUUUGGCCGUGAUACAAAUGAUUCUGAUCUGGACGCAAGUGCUGCAGAUCUCAUCAACAGAAUAUCUUUCCAGGCUUCCCAGGAUUUAUCAUCUCUCAAGAACAUGGCCGGAGAAACCGGAAAGAAGCUGACAUCUUUUGCCUCAAAUUUUAUCACCGACCUCGACAGAAUUCUGUGAGGUGUUGAUUGGCUGAAAUUGUGGGCAUUUCUCUGCACGCAGAAGUAGUGCUCUCGGAGUGACUUGAGCAUUUAUUGCACAGCUAUGUAGAGAAUAUUAGAGGGUUGUUACUAUUAUCAUGAAUGUGUAUCAUUCGCAUGCAUUUAUCAAAAUCUUGCUAUAAAAGAAAAUAUUGUUAUUAUUCAUUUGUUGACAAUAGGCGAUAUUGUACUUGUUACAGUUUGAUUUGCCGUGAUUUUUUAGUGCGAUGCUAUUGCUUGAUG
rnacentral:rRNA from 1 species